rnacentral:rRNA from 1 species
AACGAACGCUGGCGGCGUGGAUAAGACAUGCAAGUCGAACGGGACAUUUUUAGUAGUAAUAUUAGAGAUGUUCAGUGGCGAACGGGUGCGUAACACGUGGAUACAUUCCGGAAAGCGGGGGAUAGCCCAGGGAAACUUGGAUUAAUACCGCAUGUGGUCGCAAGACUAAAGACGGGGAUCGAAAGACCUGUCACUUUCCGAUUGGUCCGCGGCCUAUCAGCUAGUUGGCGGGGUAAAAGCCCACCAAGGCGACGACGGGUAGCUGGUCUUAGAGGACGACCAGCCACACUGGAACUGAGACACGGUCCAGAAACCUACGGGUGGCAGCAGUCGAGAAUCUUUCACAAUGGGGGCAACCCUGAUGGAGCGACGCCGCGUGGAGGAUAAGGUCUUCGGAUUGUAAACUCCUGUCAUGCGAGAACAAGGUUGCAGGGCUAAUACCCGUGCAAAUUGAUGGUACCGCAAGAGGAAGAGACGGCUAACUCUGUGCCAGCAGCCGCAGUAACAC